rnacentral:rRNA from 1 species
UGGGGAAUAUUGGGGCAAUGGGCGAAAGCCUUACCCAGCAAUGCCGCGUGAGUGAAGAAGGUCUUCGGAUUGUAAAGCUCUUUGAUCAGGGACGAACACAAUGACGGUACCUGAAGAACAAGCCCCGGCUAACUACGUGCCAGCAGCCGCGGUAAUACGUAGGGGGCAAGCGUUGUCCGGAAUGACUGGGCGUAAAGGGUGUGUAGGCGGGCUUGCAAGUUGGAUGUGUAAUACCCAGAGCUUAACUCGGGUGCUGCAUCUGAAACUACAAGUCUUGAGUGUCGGAGAGGUAAGUGGAAUUCCUAGUGUAGCGGUGGAAUGCGUAGAUAUUAGGAGGAACAUCAGUGGCGAAGGCGACUUACUG